GACGAACGCUGGCGGCGUGCCUAACACAUGCAAGUCGAACGGAGUAGAUAGCAAUAUCUACUUAGUGGCGAACGGGUGAGUAACGCGUAGACAACCUGCCUCUAAAAUGGGGACAACACCGCGAAAGUGGUGCUAAUACCGAAUGUGAUAUCUUAGUUGCAUGAUUGAGAUAAGAAAGGUGGCCUCUAUAUAUAAGCUACCGUUUAGAGAUGGGUCUGCGUCUGAUUAGCUAGUUGGUGAGGUAAUGGCUCACCAAGGCGACGAUCAGUAGCCGGUCUGAGAGGAUGAACGGCCACACUGGGACUGAGACACGGCCCAGACUCCUACGGGAGGCAGCAGUGGGGAAUCUUCCGCAAUGGACGAAAGUCUGACGGAGCAACGCCGCGUGAGUGAAGAAGGUCUUCGGAUUGUAAAGCUCUGUCGUUUGGGACGAACGUGGAUAGGGUGAAUAAUCCUAUCUAAUGACGGUACCAAAGGAGGAAGCCACGGCUAACUACGUGCCAGCCGCCGCGGUAACAC
rnacentral:rRNA from 1 species